rnacentral:lncRNA from 1 species
UGAAAAUAUAAGCUUCCAACCUCCAACCUGGAACAUUCUGUCUCAGAAAGGACAGUGUGUACACUUGAAUGGAAAGACCAGAUCCUGGUGCUUUCCCACAAGAAGUUGCUGAAUGUGGCUACCUGGAAGGACAACCAAAGAGGGCUGCCAGAGAGGAGGCCACUACCAAUUAGUCAAGCAACCUCAGCUGCAUCAUCACAAGCAUCUGUAGUAUGGAGGUCUGGUAAACACAGUGUGGGCCUUUUCCUUCCCUGGAUGCCACCAUCAAGUGAGAUAUAGGUUGUUCACAUCACUGUGUGGACCUAGAAUUCCUCUGCAGGUAAGGGCUUGGGAAAAGGGCCGUGUGCAGAAGUCCUAGUGGUUAAUAUCACUGGUUAUUCCUUAAGUAUGAGAAAUCUGAGUAUCCAGCUGUUACAGAGCACCUUCCUUCCUUGCUUCAGCAAGGAUGCUGCUCACUAACCUAUCAGUGGGGUCGUGGCAGAUGGGAAGCAAGCAGAGUAUCAUAGGCUUGCCUCUCAAUGUGAUUGGUAAUUCCUGGAAGAUCAUUAGUGGAGGGAUGUUCAGGGUCUGAAAAAACUCCUCUUUGCUCUCAUCUGACACAUGGUUGCAUGUACUGACAGAGGUCCCUCUAACCCUUAUAAGAACACCCUGAAGGCAAUAUUUAGAUUAUGACUGGAGAUGAGACAUUCAGAGGGAGUGAGGCAGGGUGCCUCACCGAGCAUGACAUGGGAGCCACAGUUUGAUAACUUUGACUGAUGAAGGAAACCACCAGAUAUAUUCCACUGUUGUCCCUGGGUUGUUUUAGAGUCCUUGUGAUUCUCUGAAGCAAAACCUUUUUAGCUUCAUUUCCAUCACAG